UUCAUCAGAACGGGUUAAAUCAUAGCAGAAACCUAAGUGGGUCUCUCCAGCUGCCCGGUGUCCUGCCUUUCUGCACACCCACUGCAAAUACUCCUUGCGAUUCUGGGCUUCAAGCAGCCUAAUCUGGAUAUCAAGAGGUGGGGGAGAAAGGCUGAGAGAAUCCCUGAGAACAAUCACUCUGGCUAACAAUAAGGAGGAGGAUUCGUAGGAUAUCCCUGUAACUGCGACCUUGUAGUUACUGCCUGAGGAGAGAGAAUAUCAACAAUUCUGGAGGACUAAACAAUGGGAAACAAAACAAGCAGAAAUUGUAAAGCAAUGAAAAAAAUCCUUCCUAUAGGAUGCUGGCAGGGCACAGACCUAGCCUGCCCUCCUCACCUGCCAUGGCAGACAGGGGAACUAGCCAGCCAGUCCAUAUGCACCUCGGGAAGCUUGGGAGAGCCGGACGCAGGUUAACAAACUGGAGGGUUCCAUGAACAGCAGAAAGGAUUGGGUGUUACAAAGAGACUCAGCUACAAGCCAGCUUUGGGGUUUGGUGCAGAGCCCUAACAGGCAUCAGAGAGGAAGUCUGAGCCUGUGGCUAAGGCAAAAGAGCUGGAUUAGGUUCUCAGCUCUGAGACAGACUCUGUGUGACCUUGGACAAAUCACUUAAUGUCUGUACCUCAGGUCCCCAUCUAUAACAUGAGACUGUUCUAGUACCAGCCUUUUGUCUUUCUGAUUGUAAGCUGUUUGGGGCAAGGACUGCCCUUACUAUGGGUAUAUGGACUGUUGACUAUGGUAGUGCCCCAAUCUCAGCUGGUGCCUGUAGGAGCUACCCAAAUACAUACUCCUGUAUUUUCAUUAAGUUCCUUUUUAGUUGGACGCACUUAGAGAGCUGUGUUUGUUUUUCUGAUUUUAACUUUAGUCCUCCCUGUCUAUAUCCAUAGUUUCAUUGCAUGCUUAACACCCAUGGUAAAUACCAUUUAUAGAAUGACAAUGCAGUUUAUUUGGUUACACUUUCCUAACUGCUGAGCAGUGACGUGAUAUGAAUAGUUCUCAUGACCACAUGUAAAUUCCCUCACUAAAUAUAUAUAUAUACACCCUGCUGCUUCCGUGCAGGGUGCAGAAGCAAGCCAUGAUGUCUGCACCACACCAGAAACAUCUGAAACCUGUUUAGCAACACUAACUGGUUCACUCUUCAUAGCCGCUGCUGAAGUUAGCCUGGGGCUGCAGUAGCUUUGGAGACAGUUGCUAUGCUCUAGAAAAAUCCAAACAAAACCUUCACCUUGAAGGCAGCCCAUUGCAGCUGUUCCUGGUGAAGGGACCUUUCUAUUGAUUCCUUUCUGCAUACAGAUUGUAUGGGGUUAGACUGAGCCUUCAGGCACAGCCCUGAGUAUCGUGUGGAAUGUGAACUGCACCAACCCAGGAGGAGCUGU